rnacentral:rRNA from 1 species
UGGGGAAUAUUGGGCAAUGGGCGCAAGCCUGACCCAGCAACGCCGCGUGAAGGAAGAAGGCUUUCGGGUUGUAAACUUCUUUUCUGAGGGACGAUAGUGACGGUACCUCAGGAAUAAGCCACGGCUAACUACGUGCCAGCAGCCGCGGUAAUACGUAGGUGGCAAGCGUUAUCCGGAUUUACUGGGUGUAAAGGGCGUGUAGGCGGGAUGGUAAGUCAGAUGUGAAAACUAUGGGCUCAACCCAUAGCCUGCAUUUGAACUAUCGUUCUUGAGUGUUGGAGAGGCAGGCGGAAUUCCGUGUGUAGCGGUGAAAUGCGUAGAUAUACGGAGGAACACCAGUGGCGAAGGCGGCCUGCUGGACAAAUAACUGACGCUGAGGCGCGAAAGCGUGGGGAGCAAACAGGAUUAGAUACC